rnacentral:rRNA from 1 species
UACGUAGGUGGCAAGCGUUGUCCGGAAUUAUUGGGCGUAAAGCGCGCGCAGGCGGUCCUUUAAGUCUGAUGUGAAAGCCCACGGCUCAACCGUGGAGGGUCAUUGGAAACUGGGGGACUUGAGUGCAGGAGAGAAGAGUGGAAUUCCACGUGUAGCGGUGAGAUGCGUAGAGAUGUGGAGGAACACCAGUGGCGAAGGCGACUCUUUGGCCUGUAACUGACGCUGAGGCGCGAAAGCGUGGGGAGCGAACAGG